UACAGAAGCUGCUUGAUCCGGUGCUUCUCUCCGGGGCUGUUGACAUAAGGGACCUUCUCCUCUGGCAAGCACGCGAAGUACAGCUGGAUCUGUGGGAGCAGCGCGCGAUGGCAUCAGUGCACGGAGGGAAGGAACAUCCCUUGAUGGACGCUGCAAAGGACAUUGCAAUGCUGAGAUGGAAUCAGGGGCACUCGAGGGAAAGAUUAGGGACGCUGGGACUCGCCUGCUAGCGGCAGUUCUACAGACCCAGACCCACCCGGAGAAGUAAGGGAGUCUCUCCGCAAAACCGUUUGUCAAAAUUCCACCUCCAAGUGCAACAACCAGCAUCCCUCUGCUUCCCGUGCUGGUCUAGAAGCUUUCCGGUUACCUGACUCUCACUAACCACUUAGGGUCUUGACUGUAUAAGGAUACCUUAUCUCAAAGGGGUCCCCUCCCCCCUUCCAAGAAAGGUAAUUCGCAACCAGACAUGGGGCUGGCAUCUUUUGUUUUGAAGGAUAACUUUGCCUGUGCAAGGUCUACCGAGAAUUUUCAGUAGCUUCAUCGUGAGGAGGUUGGAAAAUAAAACAGGCAUACAGAUCAUUUCCACCCUUCCAACGGCGGUAACAAAGGAAGUGCCGCAGUGACACUUUUCUAAUCCCCACUGCACUUAUCAGGCCACAGUUACUGGCAGCACUGCAUGCCUCUUCCAUAGAGAAGCAGAAUGGAGAACUGUUCUGGGGACAGUCCUUUUAUUUCCUUUUCUUCUUUCUGAAGCUUUGAAAUGUGUAAUAGUGGCACACACCUUUAAUUUCAGCACUUGGGAGGCAGAGGAGGGAGGUUGGAGGCAAGCAGGGAUUAUACAGUGAGUCCUCAUUUUAAAAGACAAACAACACCCUCCCCCAAAACCCCAGUAUGGGGGGGGGGAUCCAAAUCAGGUAAGUUUCUCUUCCUCCCAAGUCCGAACAGAAACACCCAUGGUGCCCUGCAUUUUAUUACUCAAUACAGCAGGGCAGAAGCAGGACUUUGCUGUGGGGCAAUGGGAUCCAUGAGUGCCAUGACAGAAGCGUCCACUGAGAAACCAAACCAGACCUUAGAAAGCAAAGGCAGCCAGGGAGGAGUGGAAGAGAGCGGAAGUCCCUGGAAAGCAAAUCAGAGAAGCCAGUUCCUACCUGCUCUGGCCUCAGGCCUGGUGGCACCCAGGCAUACUCUUCCAGCGCACAGCCGGAGUCAUCAUCUGAUGUGGAACUCCUCUGGCACCCGAAGGCCAAUUUGCUCAUUUUGGGCUCCAUCUCCAAAGGCAUAAUAAGAAUGAAGUUUCAAAACCUGGCUCCUCAGUCACAGGACAUCCAAUGGCGGUUGCUGUGGGUGACAGAGGAGAAACAAAUGUUGAAAAGGAAAAUGUGUCUCUACCAAGAGUCACCACCUGCAAGCCCAGUGCCACUCAAUUAGGGAGUGACACCCCCCUCCCCCCGCCUCGCGCCUUACACAGCUCAGUACCGAAGAAAAAGGCCACCAAGAUAGUGUUGUCGGUUGCCUUUAGAGGAUGCUUCCUGCUCAUGAUUUUACUUGGCAAGGAAAGUACUCUGCUGGCUAAUUUACCUACAAAUGAAAUUCUGUGAGGUCUUAAGGGUUUAGAAAGAAGUGUUGGGAAACAGGCUCUCUGCCUCACCCACCAUCAGCUACCCAGAAAGAUGGCGGCAGAGACCCUGCCCCAUCAUCUGAAUUUCCUAAGACAGGCCAGUGUAGGCUGCUGAGAAUGGAUUCCCUAAGCCACAACCGCAGUGUAGACUUUAAUCCCUAGCACCAAACCUGACUUUCACACUAGUCAACCAACAGUAAAGGAGUACAGAAGCCGGCCCCCAUGUCACAGUAAAGUCCAGCCUGGUGACUUGAUGUUUAAUCUCACUAUCAACCAACAUUUAGGAAUGCUUAUUGAGUGUGAAAUGGAACGAGCCCACUAUUGUUCAAAGUGAGGUGUUAAAUCCCAGAAAAGGGACACUAACUGUGUCAAGAUGCUGCUCCUGACCCUGGCUUUGUUAGCUCUGUCUAUUCCCUCUGUCUUCUAGUUCUUAAAAAAUCACCCCUCACACGUAAGGCACUAAGAAAGAAAACAAGAACCUCCAAGACUCCAAUAGAAAGAAAAUUGUGAUUAGUCCAGUGUCCAGUUGCUUUGGAGAAAGAAGGACUCAAGGACAGCAGAUGACUUGUACAAAGGUCAAGGCCUAAUCCUUCUGAUUUAGCAAAUGCCCUCACUGGCUCACACUUGUGGGAGAGGGUGAAAUCUUAACCAGUCCCAGCCCGAGGUGAUGUGGUCCAGUAGUUCUCAAUGCAUCACUAAAGAGUUAAGUCUUGUUGGGUGGGGUGUGGGGGUGGCUAUCAAAAUUUAGUUUAGUUUUUUUUUUUUUUAAUAGAAAUCCAAGGACAUUUUACACUUCAUGCUUUGAACAGCUCACAAAGGACUAGGGUUAAAAGAGCACCUGCCUUGUGGCUGCAGUCAGUCCCGCAGGAGAAAACGUGACUCAGCAGAUACUGUCACUCGGCUAGUGAACUGGGCUUUCAUCCACCCCGGCAGAAGGGAAGGCGGCAGAAGGGAAGGCGGCCUCAUUUCCGACGCCUAGGGAGGCUGUCACCUUCUGACCCAGUCAUUUCACACAGGUGCAGACCAUUCUCGGCUUAGGAAAGGCUCUCCAAACAGAGGUGCAUUCCUCGAACCCCUCAAUAAAAGGGGACGUGUAAAUGAAAGUCAGAAGACAGGCUUGGGUCUUUCCCUUUUGCCCUGAAAGACCCGCCCCCAAGUGUCAAAAGAAGAGGAUAGAGAUUAAGACUUUAAUUAGUAACUCACUGACUCUCACCAGGAGAACUGGUACUUUCAAUGCAAUUUAACCUGAAUUUUGACAUGGGAGCAUUUGUCUGGUUGCCAAACCUGGCUGGGGGCUGGGUAGGAUGAAAAUAAUAGAAUAUAAAUAUUAAAAAAGAACCUAAAAACUAAA